AACGGCGAGUGAAGCGGCAUCAGCUCAAAUUUGAAAUCUGGCCUCACGGUCCGAGUUGUAAUUUGUAGAGAAUGCUUCGGGCGAGGUCCGGUCUAAGUUCCUUGGAACAGGACGUCAUAGAGGGUGAGAAUCCCGUAUGCGACCGGGUGCCUCUGUCCAUGUGAAGCUUCUUCGACGAGUCGAGUUGUUUGGGAAUGCAGCUCAAAAUGGGUGGUAAAUUUCAUCUAAAGCUAAAUACUGGCCAGAGACCGAUAGCGCACAAGUAGAGUGAUCGAAAGAUGAAAAGCACUUUGGAAAGAGAGUUAAACAGUACGUGAAAUUGUUGAAAGGGAAGCGCUUGCGACCAGACUUGCGCGUAGCCGAUCAUCCGGUGUUCUCACCGGUGCACUCGGUUGCGCUCAGGCCAGCAUCGGUUUCGGUGGUUGGAUAAAGGCCCUGGGAAUGUAGCUCCUCUCGGGGAGUGUUAUAGCCCUCGGCGCAAUGCAGCCUACCGGGACCGAGGACCGCGCUUCGGCUAGGAUGCUGGCGUAAUGGUCGUAAGCGACCCGUCUUGAAACACGGACCAAGGAGUCUAACAUCUAUGCGAGUGUUUGGGUGUCAAACCCAUACGCGUAAUGAAAGUGAACGGAGGUGAGAACCCUUAAGGGUGCAUCAUCGACCGAUCCUGAUGUCUUCGGAUGGAUUUGAGUAAGAGCAUAGCUGUUGGGACCCGAAAGAUGGUGAACUAUGCCUGAAUAGGGUGAAGCCAGAGGAAACUCUGGUGGAGGCUCGCAGCGGUUCUGACGUGCAAAUCGAUCGUCAAAUUUGGGUAUAGGGGCGAAAGACUAAUCGAACCAUC
rnacentral:rRNA from 1 species